rnacentral:rRNA from 1 species
AUUGAACGCUGGCGGCAUGCUUUACACAUGCAAGUCGAACGGUAACAGGUUAAGCUGACGAGUGGCGAACGGGUGAGUAAUGCAUCGGAACGUGGCCGAUCGUGGGGGAUAACGCAGCGAAAGCUGCGCUAAUACCGCAUACGAUCUGAGGAGGAAAGCGGGGGAACGUACGGCCUCGCGCGAUCGGACCGGCCGAUGUCAGAUUAGGUAGUUGGUGAGGUAAAGGCUCACCAAGCCAACGAUCCGUAGAUGGUCUGAGAGGACGACCAGCCACACGGGGACUGAGAAACGGCCCAGACUCCUACGGGAGGCAGCAGUGGGGAAUUUUGGACAAUGGGCGCAAGCCUGAUCCAGCAAUGCCGCGUGCAGGAAGAAGGCCUUCGGGUUGUAAACUGCUUUUGUACGGAGCGAAAAGGCUCUCUCUAAUACAGGGGGCUCAUGACGGUACCGUAAGAAUAAGCACCGGCUAACUACGUGCCAGCAGCCGCCGUAA